CAGAGGGCAUCAACCGACUGCUCUAAGUCGUAUUCGUUCAUCCUCAAGAUCUCCUUGUUCAAAUCAACCUGCUUGAAGCCCAUAUCCUCAAGUUCCUUGAGAAGAGACUUCUCAAUUGCCUCCUUCACAUUGACAUCGUCAGAUAAAGGUCGGACAUCCACAGCAAGAGGAGCUUCUGAUGGCCCAACCAGGGCUGUUUCAGAUAAGUCAAUAAUCGGAUAUGACACAGAAGAGGAGACAUGAGGAGGUGCAGGAGUUGCAACAGCUUCACCAACUAACAAGGCAUCAUUUGUGGGGAAAUUCAACUCCUGGUCAUUCUUAGGCUGUUCAACAUCAACUGUCGGCUUUAUUGGCACUGAAACUGUGGUAAAAUUGCAAGGCUCUGCAAAACCACUAUCGACAACAGGCUGAACAUUCACAUCUAUAAUCUC
rnacentral:lncRNA from 1 species